AUCACGAGUGCGAAUGCUGACAUGAGUAACGACAAGGGGCGUGAAAAACGCCCCCGCCGGAAGACCAAGGGUUUCUGUUCGACGCUAAUCGGAGCAGAGUGAGUCGGCCCCUAAGGCGAGGCCGAAAGGCGUAGUCGAUGGGAAACGGGUCAAUAUUCCCGUACCUCACAGCAUUGCGAUGGGGGGACGAAGAAGGCUAGGCGGGCCAGGCGUUGGUUGUCCUGGUGAAAGCAUGUAGGCUGGGAUCUCAGGCAAAUCCGGGAUCCCAAGGCCGAGACGCGAGACGAAGGCACUACGGUGCCGAAGUCGUCGAUGCCACGCUUCCAGGAAAAGCCUCUAAGCUUCAGAUGCUGUGGGACCGUACCCCAAACCGACACAGGUGGUCAGGUAGAGAAUACCCAGGCGCUUGAGAGAACUCGGGUGAAGGAACUAGGCAAAAUGGUGCCGUAACUUCGGGAGAAGGCACGCCGCACUAGCGUGAUGGGACUCGCUCCCUAAGCGCGAAGCGGUCGAAGAUACCAGGUGGCUGCAACUGUUUAUUAAAAACACAGCACUCUGCUAACGCGCAAGCGGACGUAUAGGGUGUGACGCCUGCCCGGUGCCGGAAGGUUAAGUGAUGGUGUUAGCUUAGGCGAAGCUCCUGAUCGAAGCCCCGGUAAACGGCGGCCGUAACUAUAACGGUCCUAAGGUAGCGAAAUUCCUUGUCGGGUAAGUUCCGACCUGCACGAAUGGCGUAAUGAUGGCCACGCUGUCUCCACCCGAGACUCAGUGAAAUUGAAAUCGCAGUGAAGAUGCUGUGUACCCGCGGCUAGACGGAAAGACCCCGUGAACCUUUACUAUAGCUUCACACUGGAUGCUGAUGUUGCUUGUGUAGGAUAGCUGGGAGGCUAGGAAGCCCGGACGCCAGUUCGGGUGGAGCCAACCUUGAAAUACCAGCCUGGCAUCAUUGGCGUUCUAACUUGGGCCCGUUAUCCGGGUCGAGGACAGUGUGUGGUGGGUAGUUUGACUGGGGCGGUCUCCUCCCAAAGCGUAACGGAGGAGCACGAAGGUACCCUCAGCACGGUUGGAAAUCGUGCAUUGAGUGCAAGAGCAUAAGGGUGCUUGACUGCGAGACAGACACGUCGAGCAGGUACGAAAGUAGGUUCUAGUGAUCCGGUGGUUCUGUAUGGAAGGGCCAUCGCUCAACGGAUAAAAGGUACUCCGGGGAUAACAGGCUGAUACCGCCCAAGAGUUCACAUCGACGGCGGUGUUUGGCACCUCGAUGUCGGCUCAUCACAUCCUGGGGCUGAAGUCGGUCCCAAGGGUAUGGCUGUUCGCCAUUUAAAGUGGUACGCGAGCUGGGUUUAGAACGUCGUGAGACAGUUCGGUCCCUAUCUGCCGUGGGCGUUGGAAGUUUGCGAAGGGCUGCUCCUAGUACGAGAGGACCGGAGUGGACGCACCUCUGGUGUUCCGGUUGUCACGCCAGUGGCAUUGCCGGGUAGCUAAGUGCGGACGGGAUAACCGCUGAAAGCAUCUAAGCGGGAAGCCCCCUUCAAGAUGAGACUUCCCUGAGGCUUGAGCCUCCUGAAGGGCCCAGCGAGACGAGCUGGUUGAUAGGCACGGUGUGGAAGCGCUGCAAGGCGUUGAGCUAACGUGUACUAAUGGCCCGUGAGGCUUGACCAU
rfam:Halomonas anticariensis FP35 = DSM 16096 genomic scaffold Scaffold12, whole genome shotgun sequence.